rnacentral:piRNA from 1 species
AGGGAGGUUUGAAACUGCUUUGCCAAAGA